rnacentral:rRNA from 1 species
AGAAUCAACGCUGGCGGCGUGCCUCAGACAUGCAAGUCGAACGCGAAAGUCCCCUUCGGGAGACGAGUAGAGUGGCGCACGGGUGAGUAACACGUAGGUAAUCUACCUUUGGAUGGGGAAUAACAAUCGGAAACGGUUGCUAAUACCGACAUAAUGCAGCGGCACCUAAGUGGUAGACAGUUGUUAAAGCGGGGGAUCGAAAGACCUCGCGUCUGAAGAGGAGCCUGCGGCGGAUUAGCUAGUUGGUAAGGUAACGGCUUACCAAGGCGACGAUCCGUAGCCCGGCCUGAGAGGCGGUCGGCACGCUGACACUGACAUACGGUCAGACUCGACGG